rnacentral:rRNA from 1 species
UACGGGGGGGGCAAGCGUUGUUCGGAAUCAUUGGGCGUAAAGCGCACGUAGGCGGUCUUGUAAGUCAGGAGUGAAAGCCCUCGGCUUAACCGGGGAAGUGCUUUUGAAACUGCAAGACUUGAAUACUGGAGAGGAUCGCGGAAUUCCCGGUGUAGAGGUGAAAUUCGUAGAUAUCGGGAGGAACACCAGUGGCGAAGGCGGCGAUCUGGACAGAUAUUGACGCUGAGGUGCGAAAGCGUGGGGAGCAAACAGG